rnacentral:rRNA from 1 species
GCUUAACGCGAAGAACCUUACCUACUCUUGACAUCCAGAGAACUUAGCAGAGAUGCUUUGGUGCCUUCGGGAACUCUGAGACAGGUGCUGCAUGGCUGUCGUCAGCUCGUGUUGUGAAAUGUUGGGUUAAGUCCCGCAACGAGCGCAACCCUUAUCCUUUGUUGCCAGCGGUCCGGCCGGGAACUCAAAGGAGACUGCCAGUGAUAAACUGGAGGAAGGUGGGGAUGACGUCAAGUCAUCAUGGCCCUUACGAGUAGGGCUACACACGUGCUACAAUGGCGUAUACAAAGAGAAGCGACCUCGCGAGAGCAAGCGGACCUCAUAAAGUACGUCGUAGUCCGGAUUGGAGUCUGCAACUCGACUCCAUGAAGUCGGAAUCGCUAGUAAUCGUGGAUCAGAAUGCCACGGUGAAUACGUUCCCGGGUCUUGUACACACCG